AGCAGUUGGGAGACAAUGGGCUGGUGAAGCACAGUACUCAACUCACAUGAGCCUGGGCACCUACGCAGCUGGCUGAGAGCCAAUCAGGCUCAAGGACACGAUGCCCUUGGGCGAUCGGGGAAAGUCCCUAAGGCGGGACAGGGAGCUAAAAGAAGGAGGACCAGACUGAAAAGCCCGGGAAGUGUUAGCCAAUCCUGAGCUUAGUUUCUGCAAUAUGUAUGAGUUGAUUAUGUUCGAACUAGAUAAAAGGCGACUGAGCUAUCCAUUAAAGUUGAAGUUCACUGUUCACUCAUAUUGAGUGUUUGGGUCUUCCUUCCGUCGGCAACAUUGGUCUGCAUAGUUAUUCCUGUUCUUGAAAAACUGUAAAUACUCUGUCAAGGCCAGACCACAUCUCUUAAUAAACCAUGAUGAAUGGCAGAUGAAGCAUGGCCAUGGAAUUUGAUCAAGAAGAAAGGAGCCCUGAAUCCCUUAAAAUACAGCUCCUAAAUUUCUGUUAUACAAAGCUGAAGAGAAAGAAGGACUUUCUGAUCAUACUGCAAUUUUGAAUGAGGGAAGUCUGAGAGAGCACACAUCUUGAAGAAUCUGCUGCUGCAGCUUCAGCUGCUCUGUUUUGGACCAUAUAUUUGCCUGCUGUUUUUCUGCAAAGUAAUUAUUUUGCUAUUUCAGUAUUUAAACUCUUUAUCAAAACUCAUUGUUUCAUUUUCCCAGAUAAUCUAAGGGUUAAUUAAAGUAUCUAAUUAUAGUUUUC
rnacentral:lncRNA from 1 species